rnacentral:rRNA from 1 species
CAGCAGCCGCGGUAAUACAGAGGAUGCAAGCGUUAUCCGGAAUGAUCGGGCGUAAAGGGUGCGUAGGCGGUUUCGUAAGUCUUAUGUGAAAUCUAUGGGCUCAACCCAUAGUCUGCAUGGGAAACUGCGAGGCUUGAGGAUGGGAGAGGUGAGUGGAAUUUCCGGUGUAGCGGUGAAAUGCGUAGAUAUCGGAAGGAACACCUGUGGCGAAAGCGGCUCACUGGACCAUUUCUGACGCUGAUGCACGAAAGCUAGGGGAGCAAACAGGAUUAGAUACCCCGGUAGUCCCUGUCUCUUAUAC